UACGUAGGUGGCAAGCGUUAUCCGGAAUUACUGGGCGUAAAGAGCGCGCAGGCGGUCGUUCAAGUCGCGUGUGAAAGCCCCCGGCUCAACUGGGGAGGGUCACGCGAUACUGAUCGACUCGAAGGCAGGAGAGGGUAGUGGAAUUCCCGGUGUAGUGGUGAAAUGCGUAGAUAUCGGGAGGAACACCAGUGGCGAAGGCGACUACCUGGCCUGUUCUUGACGCUGAGGCGCGAAAGCUAGGGGAGCAAACGGG
rnacentral:rRNA from 1 species